UAUAUUAUUAUAUUAUUUUUAAAUUAAUUUUUUUUAUGAAUUAUAAAUUUUUAUUUUAUGGGUGAAUUUAAAUCAUCUGACCACGCCUAGUUAAAUAAUAUGCAAAUCAUAAAGCAGAAUACUCUAUAAACAAACAAAGUAAUACAAUACAUUGAUAAAGUAGGUAUAGGUACCUAACGAAAUAUAAUCUCGAAUAUGAUAUAGUGUUAUUUAUAAGGAAUAUCCAUGUCACAUAUUUUAUAAGCAACGCAAAUGUAUCGUUAUGUUCUGUAUAUAAAUAAAAUAAAAUUACUAGUUUCAUACUAAUCAUAACAAUAUUAAUAUUUUUCAUUUAUCUGUUGGUUUGUUAAGCCAUUCAUAGUGUAUAUUCAAUUGUGAAUUAAAAAAAAUAACAAUUAUACAAAUAAGCUCGACCCAACCACCAAUAGAAAUAUACCAUCUGUACCCUGAGGCACAAUAAGAAUAUGGGCUAAAUUACAGCGACAUUGAAAAAAAUACGUUGUUGGAAGAAGCCACCCAGUAAUGACACUUCCUACGUUUUACAAAAUGCGAUUGUAAAAAUGAAAUAUAAAUAUAUAAUAUAAUACAAUAAGUAUUUUAUUAUUUCUUCACUAUAACAGUAUAUUAGAGGUUAUUACUUUCGUUUUAUGAAGUCAAACAUUUUUCUUGUAAAUUAAGGUAAAUAUUAUUUUGUUUACUAUUGAAAAUUAUUUUAUAGGAAUUUUUACUCUCGUCUACAUCCCAGUUUGAUAUAAUAAUCUCGUAGCAAGCUGAACUUUUGUAUUCAAAUUGAAUAUAACACGAUUCAUUCAAAGCACACACUUCUAACAAUUUAUAACAAUAUAGCUGUAUUAAACAACGUGGCCUGGGGAUAAAUAAAAUCAAGAUAGGCAAUCCUGCACCAAGUCCUGCGGUGAAUAGUAAGUAACUUUUUUUAUCUUAUGUGUUAAUUGCGAACGGAAAUAAACGAAUAUAUUAUUGUAAUAUGCGGGUAAGCCACCCUGAUCAAAUAGUUCAAACACUUCAAGCUAUUAUCUAAAAUUCUAUACCUUUCUUGAAUCGCAAAUGUCAGGCGAGUAUAUUUUGAUUCUAGGUAUAAACCUCUGGCCUAAACAACAGACUUUACAUUGUAUAUUAUAAUAGUUGUAGGUAUUCUAAUACUAUUAAGGCCCAUGUGGGAUCUCAAAUAAUAUGUGUGCAGAAUCGGUGCUAAUUGGUAUAAAAUGUAAAUUUUCAUGUACUUACGUCAUAUCGUAGAUAUUAUAAUUCUCCUAAUAUUAUCAGCUAUAUUAGCUGACUAUAUAUUAUAAUCUAUCCGUCCAACGUUUACAUUUUGCAUCAGUUGAAAAUAUAUUAUCAAUAUUGUAUUUUGUCAGAAUCGGUCGAGAUUUUUUUAGUUUAUAAAUCCUAAACAUACACUUCGUCUCUUAUAUAUCUAUAUUUAAUAGUAGUUACUUAAUUUUAUAUCUAUAUCAUAUAAUAGUUUUAUUAGCCUAAAUGACAAAAUAUAAUACAAUACAGACAAUUAUAUCCAAUAAUAAUAACUAGUUUAUUGUCUGCAACCAAUGACAACCCUAUAAUAUAUAAACAAAAAUAAGUUAUAGGAAAGCUCACUCUGUGCUAAAUUGCUAGUUUCUAAACGUACUUUAAUACAACGUAAUAAAUUAUUUUUCUAAAUACAAUUUAUGCACUUUAACUACACGGACAAUAAAUAAAUACCUUAAUAAUAUCAACAAUCGUAACUGUGUUCUGGUUGGUAACUAACAGUCAGACGGACACAAGAUAAAGUGUUUUAAACAUAUUAUGUUUAGAAACCUAAAACAUUCGAUUUUCGUGUGAACUAAAAUUCAUCAGCGGCUAUAUAAGUGCAACUCAGUCACUUUUGUAGGCAAUGUGUGAAAAUACGAUUUGAUGUAUGCUGCUUGUACCUGAUCUGCCAGAUAACCAAUGGAAACUAAUAAAAUUAUAAAUACUAAUUUAUAUUAUUUAUUUCUCCUACAAACAAUAGCAACCAUUAAAAAACAAAAAUGUAAAUCUCAAAAUUCCUGUUUGAGCACCUCCUCGGGUUGGAUUUACCUGGUCAAAUUGUGAAUCUAAACCAUCCAGGGAACCACUCAAACACUCACAAUAAAUGUCAUCAACAUCGGCCCAGUCAUAGGCGCAAUUUCAACUUUUGGCUUAGGGGGGGCUGAAUAUAUUAAAGGCAAGCAGACUAUUGCAAUAUAGCAUAUUAAAAUUGUAUGUCCUAGGUUUGAGGGGAGGGGGCUACGGCGAAGUUUGAGGGGGGGGUAGCACUCCCAAGCCCCCCAAUUUGCACCUAUGGGCUCAGCUGUUCUUAAUUGAUUAAUUUCUAUACAUAUUUCACACCAUUUUAAUAUAUUAUAUAGAUAGAUUUUUAUAAAAAUUGAUAUAUUAUAAUACGAUACAAAUUCAAAAGCUACUUAAUAAAUUGCUAUUUAACUAUACCAUGGACUUUGAACCAAAUUAAUUACUUAGAAUAUUAUGUAACUUCAAUAUGUUGAACCUAUAUGUUAAGUAA